AGUGACAAGAAAUAACAAUACAGGACUUUUUGGUUUUGUAAUUGGGAUGAGUUAAGUAUAAACCCCUUUACAAGUAUCAAUUGGAGGGCAAGUCUGGUGCCAGCAGCCGCGGUAAUUCCAGCUCCAAUAGCGUAUAUUAAAGUUGUUGCAGUUAAAAAGCUCGUAGUUGGAUUUCUGUUAAUAAUUUAUAUAAAAUAUUUUGAUGAAUAUUUAUAUAAUAUUAACAUAAUUCAUAUUACUAUAUAUUUUAGUAUAUGAAAUUUUACUUUGAGAAAAUUAGAGUGCUUAAAGCAGG
rnacentral:rRNA from 1 species